GUCGUCAAAGGGCUCCCCUCAGGGUCCCUCACGGUUGUCAAAGGGCUUCCAAAGGGCUCCCCUUUGCUCCCCUCAGAGUCCCAAAGGCCUCCCUCGGGACUUCCAAAGGGCUCCCCUCAGCGUUUCCACAGGGUCCCAAAGGGCUCCCCAAAGGGCUUCCCACAGGGUGCUUUGCAGCUCCCCAAAAGGUUUCCAAAGAGUUUCCAAAGGGUCUGCAAGGGCUCCCCACAGGGCUUCUGCAGGGCUCUGACAUUGCUCCCUCAGCUCUCCACAGGACCUCUUGGGGCUCCCACAGGGCUCCUUUUGGGGAGCAGAGCAGCCACCGUGGCUUCUCCUAAAGUGUGGUAGCAGGAUGAGUCUGGGGAGGAGGGGCCCUCUCUACUGCCUUCGCGUCCCACUCAAACUCACCCAGAAGUCAGUCACGGCAGGACCGUUGUAGGGUCUCCAUGGGAAUACCACCACUCUCCCCAGGCACGGUGUUGGACUGUCCAGACAGUUCUCCCCUAACUUGUCAUGUUACACCCUCUACCUCCAGAACAAGGGCCUUUCUCUGCUCUUCCUGGUGCCAUCCUCACCCCAACCUGCUACACCCCAUCCUUCACACAGAGCCUCUGGAGAGGUUUCUAGGGCUGAUAGUAAGAGAAGAACAUUACAUCAAAUGUCUGACGUGCAGCGUCUGACAGCAACUCCUCCACAUCCUGCGCAUGUACAGGAGUGUGGGACCAGUUUGACCACCCCAGUCUGACUAUCCCAGUCGAAGGACUUCAGCCCGCCAGGGCAGGACCAGGCCCUUCCACAGAAAUGUCUUACACUGAUAACCAACAUAUUUGUGUCCCACCCAGCCAACCUCCAGUGUGGUGUUCAUAGUAGCACACUUGGAACGUCGAGAAAGAUGCUGUCUUUCGAGAAGUCCUACAGGAUAUGGAACAUGUCUGAAGUGACAGAUCUAGGCUCUGCGCCUGAACAAGUUCAUCAUGUAUUGCUUAACUUCAUUCUGAAUAAAAUAUGUAAACCCUCAGCUGAAGUGGAAAAUACUCUUGCAAUUAGAAGACAAAAUAUCUGGAUGAGGAGAAGGAUGAAUAAGAAGUUCCGGGACAAGCAGUGUCUAAAGAGUCAUUCCAGUGGGCCGUCUCAUAUGAAAUGACCUUGUUUCUUAUCUCUCAUGAGGAAGAUUUUAUACAGGACUUUGCUGGGAAAACUAUUGCUCCUUUGAGUCAAUGUUGGUGCAGCAUGAGAUAUAUCUAAGGCAGAAAUUCCAUAUACAGGGUUUGGGGAUGUGUAAGACCUUUAAAAGGUUGUCCGAAGCUAACGAAUGGUGAGUCAGUGACAUAUGAAAGAGCUGAAAUAAUAAACUUUAACUGAUAUAUGUAGCAUGUGCAAUGCUUUGACUAGUAAUGUCACAAGGAGAGUAGUGAAAUGUUAAAUUGUCAAAGAGUUUUGUGGACACUGACUGGUCUCUUGUUAGGCAAACUCAAUCCUGUCAUAAACGGGAACUCCACCAGCCCCAGGAAAGAUGUGUCUUUUGUCACUGGUGCUUAUACCAUGUCCACAGAGGUGGAAAUACUCACAUCUCCAGACUGCUGAGUGGGAGAUGCCCUAAAAGCAACAACAGAGCCCUGAUCAGAACAAAUGCAAGACAUUUCACAUUCAUUCCCAUGCUCCUGGAGGGCCAUGCCACCACUCAGAUAGAAGCACUGAAAAAAUGGGUUUUACCUGAAUUUGCAGCAGUUGAAAAAUGUGUCAGAAACAAGAGGAAAAGCAUCUGUUGAUGAAAGGUCACACUGCUACUGAGUCACUCUGUUGUGUUCUCCUGUUGCAGAGAUCUCUGCAGUAUGUGUCCUUAACCUGCUGAAGGGAUGGUGAUGGCUGUGAACUCCUUGGAGCUGUGCAGCUCUGCAGAGCUGUAUCUCACAUAAGUUCCUAAACUGAGUAGACAGGGAGUUGUCCUCUUCCAUCCAGAACAAAGAUUGCCUUCCCUCUGUUGGAUCAGACACAUACACUCCUAAAUCUGACGCCAUUAACAAGACCUGACCACGGUUCCCUGUGUUGGUCUGUCUCUCUGUGCCAAGGGCAAUUACAGGACGUGUUUGUGCAUCUGAGAGUGACUCUAUGAGCUGAUCAGUUGACAAUUCAAUGAUUUUUUUGCAUCUAGACCUCAGCCUGUGCUUCCAGUUGACCAGCAGUCCCUUUGCUGUGUACAGCAGUUAACCUGGCUCAGAGCCAAAGCUUAUCCUGCUUAUUUUCCAUAUAACCCGAAGCCCAUGCACACACAAACAUAAAUACGUGUGUGAAACAAUAUACUCUGAAAGGCUACUGAGGCUGUGCACUCCAGCAUUCAACAGCCUGCAGUGUCCAGAGUUUGCCUGGUUUUCCUCAUCCAGAUGGACUGUAAUUGAGUUAUCCACACCCUUUUCCUACAGGCAUCCCCCUCACUCCACACUGGCAAUGGUUGCUGCUCCUGAGGGAGCAGCUCCCCCCAUGAUUUAUUCUCCUCUUGUUUAACGUGCAGCGAUGGGGCUUUUUACUGCCUGUUAUUCAAAUUGUGCUUUGGGCACAAAAUUAUUCAUUUCCGAGUGUUUUUUCCAUGGUGCUCAUGACAGCAGUGUCUGAGUGUUUCACAUGCACCAUUUCCUUUUCCAGCCAUUCUGAGAGGAUGCUGACCCUGUAUUAUCAGUGAGGAAAGAAGACAGGCAGCGAUGAAUUAAAGAAAGGGUCUUCAUAAUUCAGGAUUCUCCAUGUGAGUCACCUACAGCCCGAGAACUGUGAUGACAGACACACAGAGCUCAGCUCCCACUGAGCUCAGCUCCAGCAGUCAUUGUGCAACAAACUGGAUCUAAAGAUCUCCCACCUAAACACCCAGGCAAGGCAGAGCAUGCAGGCCAAGCACUGGAAGACGAGGAGAGUGGGAGCAGGAACAGAAGCAAGUGCAUGAUAACCUACUAAGAUAGUGUCUGUGCUGUGAAGUUCAAGGGCCUGUUUCCUUACAAACCACUCAGUGUGUCUGGCACCACGGAACUGAUGGGAACCACUCCCUGCAUUGAUCCAGCCAUGCAGACCUGAGGAUUAUUUGCCUACAAACAGCUAUUGUUUGCAGGAUUGGCAAAUGAAAAAAAACAAAUAUGUUUGUUUUCUCCACAGAUCAUGUUGCUUCCCACU